rnacentral:rRNA from 1 species
UACGAAGGGGGCUAGCGUUGUUCGGAAUCACUGGGCGUAAAGCGAGUGUAGGCGGUCUCAAAAGUCAGGUGUGAAAGCCCUGGGCUCAACCCAGGAAGUGCACUUGAAACUGCGAGGCUAGAGUACUGGAGAGGUUGGUGGAAUUCUCGGUGUAGAGGUGAAAUUCGUAGAUAUCGAGAGGAACACCGGUGGCGAAGGCGGCCAACUGGACAGAUACUGACGCUGAGACUCGAAAGCGUGGGGGAGCGAACAGG